AGCAGCCGCGGUAAUUCCAGCUCCAAUAGCGUAUAUUAAAGUUGUUGCAGUUAAAAAGCUCGUAGUUGAAUUUCGGGAUCAAUUAAUUGGUCGUGCCUCUGGUACGUACUGAUUUUAUUGGUUUCUCCCUUCUGACGAACCAUGAUGUCAUUAAUUUGGUGUCGUGGAGAAUCAGGACUGUUACUUUGAAAAAAUUUAGAGUGUUUAAAGCAAGCUAACGCUUGAAUACAUUAGCAUGGAAUAGUGAAAUAGGGCGUUUGAUCCUAUUUUGUUGGUUUCUAGGAUCGACGUAAUGAUUAAUAGGGAUAGUUGGGGGCAUUAGUAUUCAAUUGUCAGAGGUGAAAUUCUUGGAUUUAUUGAAGACUAACUACUGCGAAAGCAUUUGCCAAGGAUGUUUUCAUUAAUCAAGAACGAAAGUUAGGGGAUCGAAGACGAUCAGAUACCGUCGUAGUCUUAACCGUAAACUAUGCCGACUAGGGAUCGGGCGAUGUUCUUUUUUCUGACUCGCUCGGCACCUUAC
rnacentral:misc_RNA from 1 species